UUGGGAGCCCUGAAGCCCUGGCACUCAGCACGGCAGCCGGACUCAGCACGUGGAAAGCCACGCCGCGGUAGUAGCUCCGGGGAGAGCAGAGAAGAUCUGGGUGUGGACGUCCGUAUUGCCAGGAGGGCUGCCGCGGACACCGAUGCAGGGCUCUCAGCCGGGGGGCCCCGCUUCCCGGGCUGGCGUAGCGAGAUCUGGUGUGUGGGUGAGCGCAGCGUGGACUGGCCUCCGUGUUCCCUGCUGUGGGUCACGCCUCCCUUCCCCCAUCCCCCCACCCGGACCCUGCCUGGCUCAGAAGUCACCACUUGGACUCUCGUUCCAAAACGGUGAUUUCCCAUGUCCUCUGUUACCUUUACUUGGUCAACACAGUACGCGUGUUAUUUCCGUCAUUUCUUGACAAAAUGCAGCGUGUGGGUCACCGUCUGGGUCGCGCUCACGGCCGGCCACGUUUCCCGUGGGAGCUCGCGGGGCUGCGUGGGCCAGUGUGAGUGCGAUGCGCGUGUGGGGCGGGCGGAGUUCUGAGCUUUUACAGACGAAGGCAGACAGCGAGAGGGGCUGGUAUUUAUUCAAACUCCAUACAGUAAAGAACUCUGAGUUUUAAAUUUCACUUACAUCAGCAGAAAAA